rnacentral:rRNA from 1 species
UACAGAGGUCCCAAGCGUUGUUCGGAUUCAUUGGGCGUAAAGGGUGUGUAGGUGGCGCCGUAAGUCAGGUGUGAAAUUUCGGAGCUUAACUCCGAAACUGCAUUUGAUACUGCGGUGCUUGAGGACUGGAGAGGAGACUGGAAUUUACGGUGUAGCAGUGAAAUGCGUAGAGAUCGUAAGGAAGACCAGUGGCGAAGGCGGGUCUCUGGACAGUUCCUGACACUGAGGCACGAAGGCCAGGGGAGCAAACGGG